UAGUACAAUGUCAUAAUGGUAAACAAAAUAAAUUAUGAAUGUUAAUUAAAACAAGUAGGUACCUACUUAGGUACUUCAAUUUUAAAUAAUAAUACUUCACAAUGUGCUUUUUUAUAAUACUUUAAUUUGCAAUGUAAAAAUAAUUCAAUUCAAAAUAGGUGUUUUAUUAACUGAAACUAAUAUAAUGCAUGAUAAUUGGAUACCAACUUGGAAACUUCAUUUUCAAAUUGUUUGUCAAACAUGUUAUUCUGCAUAGUUUACAAUUUUUAUUUAAACAUUGUAUACAAAUGGACCACUUACAUUGUCUCAUAGGAUAUCAUAUUAUAAUAAAACAAUACAAUACUAUACAAACACCAAGUCAAAACUUUUAAAUUCAUCUACAAAUUCUUUAUUUGGUGACUAUUUAAUUUGUAUAGUUAAUUGUAAAAAUUAGUAAUUCAUAAUAAAUUACACUGAACUAUGAGAAACUAUAUCUAUGACUAGACAAUACAAUUUGAUUUGACUAGCAAAUGUUUCAUAACUGUACCAGUACACUGAUAUUUGAUAUUUAUGUAAAUUAUUAUGGAAUCAAAUAUAUUUCUGUAAUAUAAUAUAGUCUCUGAACAAACUACUCAAUUAAUUGUAUUGUAAAGUUAAUUUUUACGAAGAGGGAAAUAUUAAGUCAGCCUACUUAAAUGUUAUGUUAUUAAUUUGUAAUACAAUUCCUCAUAAGUAGCAUUAUGAGGUUGUUAAAAUAGAAAAUUUUACAUUUUUAAAAAAAAUUAAUCAGACAUUUCCAAUUUUUAAUUAACUUAUUUUCAAAAAAUGUAAGAUGAAAAAUUAACUAUGUUUGUACUAAUUGUAUUUGUUGUAUUUGAAGUCCGUAGCCCUUUAAUAAGUUUAAAUGUAGAGUAGUUAAUAUAUUAUGUACAUUUAAUUUUUAUAAUUUUAUCAAGUGUAGUGUGUGUGUCAAGUGUUAAUAUUUUUUGUUGGUUUAUGACCUUACCCAAAUUCUGCAAAAACUUGCAUUACGGAAAUUAGGCCAUACUCCAGUAGAAUUAUUGAUAACUAAUGCACUUAUUAUUUUUGAUAAUUUAAUAUUAAAUUAGUGUCCAUUAUGUGGCUUAUUCACACACAAGAUAGUUUUUACAUUAAAUGCAUAUUAUGUGUAUUAGGUUUUAAUACAAUAGCAAUUAUUUAUUACAAGCAUACAUUUCUUAAAAAAUUAUUUUAUUUCAUAUUUUUAGUAUUAAUUAUUAUAAUCACAUUCUGUUUUGGAAUAUAAAAUUCUUAUGGAUAAAAAAUAUUUAAAAACAUGUUUUAAUAAAAAUGUUGUAUUGUAAACGACUUGAAAUAAAUGUAUGGCUGCUCUAUUCUAAAUACUGUUAUGUAAAAAAAAUGUUAUUAAUUUCUAGCUUCUCCCCUACAAACGGCCUUGUGUGUGAUUUGACUUAUAACUACUCUUAGAAUUAUGUUGGGUUAUGGACUUUUAGACAAAUGAAUAAAAUUAUUUUAUAACUUUUAUUAAAAUUUUUUAAUGUAAACAUUUAUUCAU